rnacentral:lncRNA from 1 species
CAAUAGAGAAAAUAAUAGAGAGAAGAAGAAUACCUUGAGCUGUUGAUUUUCAGAAAAGAAGACCUACAAAAUAAGAAGAAAACUAGAAAUAAAAGAAAAAAUAAUAAUUCUAACUAAUAUACACAUACCUUGGCCUUCAUGUUAAGUCAUAAGAAGGCUCCCCCAAGGAAAAGGAGUCCUCUUCAUCUGCAAAAUUUUCAAGAAAAGGUUUUAAUCUGUG